AUUGAACGCUGGCGGCAGGCCUAACACAUGCAAGUCGAGCGGCAGCGGGAAAGUAGCUUGCUACUUUUGCCGGCGAGCGGCGGACGGGUGAGUAAUGCCUGGGGAUCUGCCCAGUCGAGGGGGAUAACUACUGGAAACGGUAGCUAAUACCGCAUACGCCCUCCGGGGGAAAGCAGGGGACCUUCGGGCCUUGCGCGACUGGAUGAACCCAGGUGGGAUUAGCUAGUUGGUGAGGUAAUGGCUCACCAAGGCGACGAUCCCUAGCUGGUCUGAGAGGAUGGUCAGCCACACUGGAACUGAGACACGGUCCAGACUCCUACGGGAGGCAGCAGUGGGGAAUAUUGCACAAUGGGGGAAACCCUGAUGCAGCCAUGCCGCGUGUGUGAAGAAGGCCUUCGGGUUGUAAAGCACUUUCAGCGAGGAGGAAAGGUUGGUAGCUAAUAACUGCCAGCUGUGACGUUACUCGCAGAAGAAGCACCGGCUAACUCCGUGCCAGCCGCCGCGGUAA
rnacentral:rRNA from 1 species